UACGUAGGGUGCAAGCGUUUGUCCGGAAUUAUUGGGCGUAAAGAGCUCGUAGGCGGUUUGUCGCGUCUGCUGUGAAAACGCGAGGCUCAACCUCGCGCCUGCAGUGGGUACGGGCAGACUAGAGUGCGGUAGGGGAGACUGGAAUUCCCGGUGUAGCGGUGGAAUGCGCAGAUAUCGGGAGGAACACCCGUGGCGAAGGCGGCACUCUGGGACGGUACUGACGCUGAGACGCGAAAGCGUGGGGAGCAAACAGG
rnacentral:rRNA from 1 species